GUUACCUCUAUUUGGUCCUUGGUGUACAUAAUAAUUGUUUUAAUUUUUUGGUUAUUUGCAACAGACAAGACUUUGAAAGGAAUGCAAUAGUGCUGUGUUCACUCAUUGUCUAAGGUUUAGUUUGCCUGUUUUGGAGGGAUUUGAAUCAUUUAUGCCAUUCCAAAGUUUCUUUGCUGUUUCACUGUCCCAGAGCAAAUACACUUUGUCAUUCUGUUUAACUUCCAGCUUGUCUGGGGAGAAAUAAAGACAUCUCUAGUCUGAAAUUACUUUGGGGAGUAUAGCUCCACAUGUUUUGGUGUGAAUGAAAGGCCUAGGGAAACAUGAAUUUUGUUACCUUUUUAUUUUCCUUUACUUAUAAAUCAUCAUGAUGAUCCUCCUGUUACAUCCAUGCGUCUCACUUUUUAUAAACACCAUUCAUUCCCUUUCUGAGGGUGGUUAUUUGUAGUUCGUUUUGCCAUUUACAAGCUUAUAGGUCCUUUACAAAUGGAUCAUUUUUUCACAUUAAAUUUUAGUAGGUCAAGAAUCCAUUUAUUCUGAGUCCCCUUAGAGAAUCGAUCAUAGAAGAUUGUGACUACAUGAUUUUUAUAGCUUCCUAUUGCUUUCUGUAGUCUUCUCAAUUUAAACAGAAGCAACAACAAAAUAUAGAGGCCACCAUAAGGCCUUACCUUCCUGGUUUUGUUUUUGUUUCACACUUGUUUCUAAGAGUAUUUGUUGGAUUUGUGAUAUAUAUGCUUGUAGUAAAUUUACCUGCUGUAUUAAUGAGGCAAAAUCUGGCAUUUCCAAGGGUUCAAACACAAAUUUAUAUGCAUGUGAUCUAAGUAGAAUUCAGUGACAGUUUUAACUAGUAUACCUUCAGAUUUCCUUUACACCAAGGUCUGUUUAAAAAUUUAAAAGACAUUUUUGUUACAGACUCUCAGAUGCUUAAUAUCCCCAUAUCCAUUAGAGGGCUGUGCCAAGUAUUCAUUUUCUUCCUUUUUUAACCCUAAAGUAAAUAUGUUGCCAAUGAUCACUUUCCCUCCUGCUGAGGUUUUUUGAAAACUAACUUUUUAUUAAUGGAGAAAUUGAAACACAUACGAAAGUAAACAGACAUGUAUGAUGAAUCACCAUGUAGCCUUCACCCAAUUUGAAAGCUACCAACCCUCAACCAUUCAUCCUGUUUGUCUGUUACCCCCUCCAUUUCACCCUCCAUAUUAUAAAGAAGCAGAUCUCAAACAUCUUUUCAUCUGCAUUUUUAAAAACAGGUAUUUCAGCGUGCGUUUUGAAGAGAUGAGUAUUCCUUUUAAUCAUGAUGUCAUUAACAUACCUAAAAAUUUUACCGAAAUUCCUCGGUCAUUGUUCAUAUUUACAAGUGUUUCAUGAAUGUCCUAGACAAUUCCUCCCUACCUCAACUUACUUGAAUCAGUUUCCAAAUAAAGUAGAUGCACUGUGAUUGGUUGAUAUUUCUUUUAUAUCUCUUCUAAUCUGUAAGUUCCCUGUUUAUUUUUAUUUACAGUUUUGCAGUUUAUUUAAUGAUGAAAUAGGGCUGAGUUUCUCAGCCUGGAUUUUGCUUAUUGCAUUUGUAUAGCAUAGUUUAAUAUCUUCCUUUAUGUUCAGUGUUUCCUAUAAAUUUGGCAGUUAGAUCAGGAGGCUUGGUCAAAUUUAGGUGUGAUAUUAUUUUUAAAGAUUUUACUUGUUUAUUUUUAGAGAGAGGGGAAGGGAAGGAGAAAGAGAGGGAGAGGAACAUUGAUGUGAGAGAGAAUCAUUGAUUGGUUUCCUCUUGUACACGCCCCAACCUGGGGCUGAACCUGUGCACCCUAGGCAUGUGCCCUGACUGGAUAUUGAACCAGCAACCCUUUGCUUUCUGCCAUGACGCCCAACCACCUGAGCCACACUGGCCAGUGCUAUUAUUUUUGACAAAACUGUUUCAAAGGUGAUAGUGUGUUUUUCUGUCAGGGGACACAUAACGUCUUACUGUCUUUGUGAUUUUGGCAGCCACUGGAAUAUAACUCUAAAGAGAAACUUAACAUAUUUGGUUACUCAGUUGGGUAAGUUACAUAGUGAAGGCAGAAUAAGUGCUUAAUUUUUUCCCUUGUUUACCAAUUUUAUUUUUAAUUAUUUUUCACAAUUAUAAAUUGGUUUCGUAGUAUCCUUUUCAGAAUCAUCGUGAACUCAUAUUUGCUAUGUUUCAAUCUACUGCAGUAAUUUAGUAUAUUGCCAUUAUAAUCCUUACAGACUUUAAUUUUAAGAAAACUUAAAUUGCUUUUGCCGUAGGAAAGUUUAGAUGUAUAAACAUUGCAUGGUCAGAUUUGGUGGUGAACUAAUGCAAAUGCAUGCAUUCAACUUAACGUUUGCCCUAGGUAUUAUUUUGAAAAUUGAAUAGUUAUUGAAGCUACUGUUUUUUUAAAAAUGACAUUUUCCUGGUCACCUCUUCAUCAUUUGUCUAGGGCUAAUUAAUGUCUUAGCAUUAGAAUAACUGAAAUAUCUUUAUUAGAACUAUAGUUCUGUUUUUAAGUUGUGAAUUGAAAUAGAUCAAUGUGUAAUGCAAAGAACUUUAUUAUAGUCAAAGUAAUUUAGCACAAGAAUUGAGUUUAAAAAUUAACCUUAUUGUUAUCUAAUAUACAAGGCAACACACACACACACACACACACACACACACGGCGAAGUCCACCUUUUUGACUCCUUACACUAUUUCUCAUCAGGGCUUUUCUUAGUGUUUUGGGAUGGGUUGUGCUUUGCCUUGAAAACAUUAAGCAUCUUUGGACUUUGCUGACUAAGUGCUAAUAGGGCCACUCCCAGUAUAAGUGGUUGCCAGAAAUCACCCUCUUUCUCUCAGUUCCAAAUGUUUUGAGGGAGGAAGGGUUAUCCCCUUAAGUUGCGAAUUACUGGUCUAGAUUCCCUUUGUUAUGAGAGCAAGUCAUAAUGUUGUAAUUAAAAUGUUUUGUGUAUUGUUGCUUCAAGUAAUGUAUAAUUGUCAUAGAUUUCUUAGGUAAAGUCUAUCAUGACCAAAUAUGUGUGAUUUUACUGCAUAUGAAGUUGUCCUCUAUGCAAAAAGUGGUAUUUUCUUUUAUCAGUUGAACUCUUUACAUCUCUUUCAAACUCUGAAAUCUCAUACUAAAUAUGAACUUUAUCUUU